rnacentral:snRNA from 1 species
GGAUGUGAGGGCGAUCUGGCUGCGACAUCUGUCACCCCAUUGAUCGCCAGGGUUGAUUCGGCUGAUCUGGCUGGCUAGGCGAGGGUCCCCUUCCUCCCUCACCGCUCCAUGCGCAUCCCUCCCGAAGCUACAUGCUCGGUGGAAGAGGACAACCAUGCCUGAUAGAGGAGGACCGUUCUUCGGUCAAGGGUAUACGAGUAUCUGCUCUCCCCUGCUAGAACCUCCAAACAAGCUCUCAAAUUAACAAGGCAAUUAUCCAAUCCAAUGAAAAAAUAAUGCUCAAAUAUUCCUUCUAAACUAUAACCUUUGAAAUAUAAAUGUUAAAGUGG